rnacentral:rRNA from 1 species
UACGUGUGCCCCAAGCGUUAUCCGGAAUUACUGGGUGUAAAGGGUCUGUAGGCUGUGAAAUAAGUAGGGUAUGAAAGACCGAAGCUCAACUUCGUGUUUGUAUUCUAAACUAUUUCACUCGAGUUAGGGAGAGGUAAGCGGAAUUUUAAGUGUAGGAGUGCAAUCCGUAGAUACUUAGAGGAACACCAAAAGCGAAGGCAGCUUACUGGAACUAUACUGACGCUCAAAGACGAAAGCGUGGGGAGCGAAAAGG